UACGUAGGGUCCGAGCGUUGUCCGGAAUUAUUGGGCGUAAAGAGCUCGUAGGCGGUCUGUCGCGUCGGCUGUGAAAACACGGGGCUCAACUCCGUGCCUGCAGUCGAUACGGGCAGACUAGAGUUCGGUAGGGGAGACUGGAAUUCCUGGUGUAGCGGUGAAAUGCGCAGAUAUCAGGAGGAACACCGGUGGCGAAGGCGGGUCUCUGGGCAUUAACUGACGCUGAGAGCGAAAGCAUGGGGAGCGAACGG
rnacentral:rRNA from 1 species